GUGCUUGCGCCGCUGACGAGUGGCGAACGGGAGAGUAAUAUAUCGGAACGUACCUAGUAAUGGGGGAUAACUAUCCGAAAGGAUAGCUAAUACCGCAUACGCCCUGAGGGGGAAAGAGGGGGAUCGCAAGACCUCUCGUUAUUAGAGCGGCCGAUAUCAGAUUAGCUAGUUGGUGAGGUAAAGGCUCACCAAGGCCACGAUCUGUAGCGGGUCUUAGAGGACGAUCCGCCACACUGGAACUGAGACACGGUCCAGACUCCUACGGGAGGCAGCAGUGGGGAAUCUUGGACAAUGGGCGCAAGCCUGAUCCAGCAAUGCCGCGUGCGUGAAGAAGGCCUUCGGGUUGUAAAGCGCUUUUGUUCGGGAGGAAAUCCUAGAGGCUAAUAUCCUUUGGGGAUGACAGUACCGGAAGAAUAAGGACCGGCUAACUACGUGCCAGCAGCCGCGGUAAUACGUAGGGUCCAAGCGUUAAUCGGAAUUACUGGGCGUAAAGGGUGCGCAGGUGGUUGAUUAAGUGUGAUGUGAAAGCCCCGGGCUCAACCUGGGAAUUGCAUUGCAAACUGAUCAACUAGAGUAUGGCAGAGGGGGGUGGAAUUCCGCGUGUAGCAGUGAAAUGCGUAGAGAUGCGGAGGAACACCGAUGGCGAAGGCAACCCCCUGGGCUAAUACUGACACUCAUGCACGAAAGCGUGGGGAGCAAACAGGAUUAGAUACCCUGGUAGUCCACGCCCUAAACGAUGUCUACUAGUUGUUGGGGGAUUCGUCCCUUAGUAACGCAGCUAACGCGUGAAGUAGACCGCCUGAGAAGUAUGCUCGCAAGAGUGAAACUCAAAGGAAUUGACGGGUGCCCGCACAAGCGGUGGAGCAUGUGGCUUAAUUCGAUGCAACCGAGAACCUUACCAGGUUUGACAUGAUACGAAUUUGUUUGAACAAGAAAGUGCCCGUUGGUACGUAUCCCAGUGGUGCAUGGCUGUCG
rnacentral:rRNA from 1 species